AAAAAGACAAACUAAGAUUUCGUGUCUAACGUUUGACUGUCUAUUUUAUAUAAUUUUUUAUAAGUAUUUUCAUUGUUGUUAGAUGAUAAAACAUGAUUAAUACUUUAUGUGUGACUUGUCUUUUUUAAUUUUUUUCAUAUUUUUUUUAAAUAAGACGGACGGUCAAACGUUGAACACGAAAAUCUAGUGUUUGUUUUAUU
rfam:Oryza barthii chromosome 11, whole genome shotgun sequence.